rnacentral:misc_RNA from 1 species
GAUGAAGAACGCAGCGAAAUGCGAUAUGUAAUGUGAAUUGCAGAAUUCAGUGAAUCAUCGAAUCUUUGAACGCAUCUUGCGCUCCUUGGUAUUCCGAGGAGCAUGCCUGUUUGAGUGUCAUUAAAGUUCUCAACCACAUUACUACAUAUGUGGCUUGGAUGUGGGGGUUUGCAGGCUUUCUCUGAGUGUCUGCUCCUCUGAAAUGCAUUAGUGGUAUUCCUGAGCUUUACUACAGAUGUGAUAAUUUAUCUACAUCCCAAAAGUAUGCUUCAGCAACACCGCUCCUAACAAGCGAAAGCACAUUUUAAUGAAUUUGACCUCAAAUCAGGUAGGACUACCCGCUGAACUUAAGCAUAUCAAUAAGCGGAGGA